AGAGGCUUGGGGACCGCUUUGCAGAACACCUACGCUUGGUUCGAACUAAUCAACUGCAUCUCCCAGUCACGAACCAUUUCAACUCCCCCUCCUAUUCCGCAGACGACAUGUCCAUCCUGGGCCUCCUGCAGUGCCACAAUGAUGCUACCCGAAGGUUGCAGGAACAGCAACUCAUAUUCCGUUUGGGAACCCUGCAGCCCAAUGGUAUCAAUGUGGAUUUCACAAGCUUCAAAAUCUCCCCUCCCGCUACCGCAUCCCAAAACCAGCCCAGCUCAUCCCCGCCUCCCUAACCUGUCCUUCCCCCCACCUAUCCCCUCCUUCCAUCUCAAGCACCACCCCCCCCUCCUCCCUACUAACCUCAUCCCGCCCCCUUGACCUGUCCAUCCUCCCUGGACUGACCUAUCUCCUCCCUAACUCCCCACCUACACUCACCUUUACUGGCUCCAUCCCCGCCUCUUUGACCGAUCUGUCUCCUCUCCACCUAUCUUCUCCUCUAUGCAUCUUCUAUCCGCCUCCCCCUCUCUCCCUAUUUAUUUCAGAACCCGCUUCCCCUCCCCCAUUUCUGAAGCAGGGUCUAGGCCCGAAACGUCAGCCUUCCUGCUCCUCUGAUGCUGCUUGGCCUGCUGUGUUCAUCCAGCUCUACACCUUGUUAUCUCUGAUUCUCCAGCAUCUGCAGUUCCUACUAUCUCUGGAAGAGACUAAAGUCGUCUCUGCCUUCUUCUCAUAACAAUCUUCAAAGACUCGAUUUAAGGCUCCAGUCGAUGUUCAUCAGGAAACCUAGGCUUUAUGAGUUACAUUGUUGAGCCUCUGUUUGUGGAAUGGUCGCGUUUUACUGAAAACACUCCUUUGACCAUAACAAUGAUGAGUCAUCUGUGCAAAAACAAGGCAAGGUGGCGGGGACUGCUCCUUAAACAACACAACAGUGAGGACAACUCAGCCCAAGUGAAUGAAGACAAAAGCAGAAUUUCUGAAGAAGUUGAACAUCAAUAAUCUAAUCCAGUUAGAUGGUCCAGUCAAAUAAUGCCAUGUAUUCUUCACACACCUUUUUUGUUUUCAAAAUUUAUUUUUAAAUGACAUGAGAACAUCUUCAAGGGACUGAGAACAAAUUCUCCGGAGAAAAGAGGAAGGAAGAGACCAAUUUUAUCCAAUUAAGAGUGAUUGUCUGUUCCGAGAUCUGUCUUCAGUUUUGAAAAUGUGUGCUGCAUAUUACCUCAGCAACCCUCCAAUAACUUUUGAUUAAUAAAAGCAAAAUACUUGAUAUUUGAAUUACAGUAGAAGCAGGAUUCAAAAUCCACAUUAUCAAGCAUCAGGUUCAAUGGCAUUUACCUAAGGUUAUACUGCUGAGUAGAGGAUAAUGUGGACUGAAAAUGAUACUGAAUGGAAGCAGAAGAGUUACUGAAAGAAAGUCAGCUUUACUUCAUUGUGGUGCAGUUAGAAGACUCAUUCAGCAAGGUGGCUUUUGCUACAACUGACAACUGCUGAAGAACAUAAUAUUCAACUGCUCUGCAGCUGGGCUGCACCAUAAUAAACCAUUGCUAAAACCAGCUUCGACUGAGCUCAGAAUCCAUCAGGUUUUGAGUGUGCACUGAGAAUAAGACUUUCUUUUUGGAAUGACUACCAAACUUUUUCAUUUUUGUACCUUUUGCAUCAGAAAGCAUUUGUGGCAUUCAGAACUGGAUUGCAUACCUACUGAGUACACGUAUAGAAUUUUUCAUGUAUAAUUAUAAAUAAAAUUAAGAUGCAGAGAUGUAAAUAUGAUCAGUUAGAAGACACACACAAUUCCAUUUUUUGUUCUGUCUCUGUCUCAGUCCCUCUUUUUUUUCACAGACACUUAGUAGAGAUGAUAAACAACAAAAGAUCGGUACAAUUAGAAUUCUGUGUUCAAAAAAUAUUACACUGUGAAAAAUAAAUACCAUUGGUAUUUAAAGAAGCCAAAAAUUAGAAUCAUAGAACAAAUGUAAAUAGCUGUUUUAGUUGUAAUACACUGGUAUGUUCCUAAAAGCCUUAACAUUGCACCCAUUGCUAUACUUACACUGUUUUGAUAAUUAAGCACAAACAUCCUUUGUACUAAACUCCUAUUUGUUGUUAUUAAUUACAGCAAGCUGUUUCAUUUCUAUUGUUCAAGUUACAGUCCUUAACAAAAGCAUCAAAACUUCACAAACAUUCCAUGUUUUCAUUUAUUUUUAAUUGUUUACUGAGGCAACUAUAGAGAUUCUUUUUUAAUCCCACUAUUGCAUAACAAGGUCAUCAAAUUUAAAAACGUUUGACAAUUUUGUACAGGUUUGUCAUUUUACUGAACCCCCGAUUAUCAAUUUAAGGUCUAAGAAAAUAAAUGCGUUUUUUAAAAAAAAUGUACUUUUCUGCUUAAAAAUCAUAAAUGAACAGAUCAAACCUGAACAUCAUGUUGUCAUGCUCCAGAGGUUGAAAAUGUAUUUAUUAUUCUAUUGACAGCAAAAGAAUAUGUUACCCAAAACACUUUUUGAAAUGCUUUGUAAUACAGGCUGUUGUUUUAUUAAUGAAAGCAAAAAAAGGCUUGUUAUUGCAUCUUUGUUUGCCUUUCUGUUCAAAUGUGGGUAAAUGAAGUUGAGGUAUAGAUCAGCAAAGAUCUAAUUAAAUAAUGGAACAGGUUUGUGGAGUAAAUAGCCCAUUCCUGUUUAUAUAUAGUCAUGGAUUUAAUUCACACAGCAAGAAUGUACCUUACAAUAUGUGUAAGUAACUAAAAUGAUUACUAUUACAGAAUUAUGUACACCUAAACUUUAAUCAAUGUAUAAAAGGCAAUAUUUUGAUUUGGAGGUUAGGUUCUUACAUUCCUGUAACCUAUGUAAACAAGCCUUACAGCUGUAUGAUAGCACCAUUUUAAUGUAAACUUUGUCUAAUGCUGAAAAUUUGUGAUGAAUAUGUUGUGAAAUUUGCUGUGACUGCUAUGCAGUGUUGCCAAGAAUUACUAUUGUUAUUUCUAAAAACUAAAUUUUAAACAAGAGAGUGCUGUACUUUCAGUUCUCAAUAUUUUGGACUGCAACUAAUCAUAAAUAGAAGAUUUUUGUAAA